CCUGCCCCAGAAGCUUCGUGGAUGUGGCUGCUGUCUCACAUAUGAACCAGUAGGUGGCAGAAGAGAGACUGUAUCUAAGCUCAGUGUUCUGACCUAUGAACAUCUGAAUGACUGGCAGUCUAGCAUU
ensembl:snoRNA